AUCAGCUCAGAUUGAACGCUGGCGGCAGGCCUAACACAUGCAAGUCGAGCGGUAACACAGAGAGCUUGCUCUCGGGUGACGAGCGGCGGACGGGUGAGUAAUGUCUGGGAAACUGCCUGAUGGAGGGGGAUAACUACUGGAAACGGUAGCUAAUACCGCAUAACGUCGCAAGACCAAAGUGGGGGACCUUCGGGCCUCAUGCCAUCAGAUGUGCCCAGAUGGGAUUAGCUAGUAGGUGGGGUAAUGGCUCACCUAGGCGACGAUCCCUAGCUGGUCUGAGAGGAUGACCAGCCACACUGGAACUGAGACACGGUCCAGACUCCUACGGGAGGCAGCAGUGGGGAAUAUUGCACAAUGGGCGCAAGCCUGAUGCAGCCAUGCCGCGUGUAUGAAGAAGGCCUUCGGGUUGUAAAGUACUUUCAGCGAGGAGGAAGGCGUUAAGGUUAAUAACCUUGGCGAUUGACGUUACUCGCAGAAGAAGCACCGGCUAACUCCGUGCCAGCAGCCGCGGUAAUACGGAGGGUGCAAGCGUUAAUCGGAAUUACUGGGCGUAAAGCGCACGCAGGCGGUCUGUCAAGUCGGAUGUGAAAUCCCCGGGCUCAACCUGGGAACUGCAUUCGAAACUGGCAGGCUAGAGUCUUGUAGAGGGGGGUGGAAUUCCAGGUGUAGCGGUGAAAUGCGUAGAGAUCUGGAGGAAUACCGGUGGCGAAGGCGGCCCCCUGGACAAAGACUGACGCUCAGGUGCGAAAGCGUGGGGAGCAAACAGGAUUAGAUACCCUGGUAGUCCACGCCGUAAACGAUGUCGACUUGGAGGUUGUGCCCUUGAGGCGUGGCUUCCGGAGCUAACGCGUUAAGUCGACCGCCUGGGGAGUACGGCCGCAAGGUUAAAACUCAAAUGAAUUGACGGGGGCCCGCACAAGCGGUGGAGCAUGUGGUUUAAUUCGAUGCAACGCGAAGAACCUUACCUACUCUUGACAUCCAGAGAACUUAGCAGAGAUGCUUUGGUGCCUUCGGGAACUCUGAGACAGGUGCUGCAUGGCUGUCGUCAGCUCGUGUUGUGAAAUGUUGGGUUAAGUCCCGCAACGAGCGCAACCCUUAUCCUUUGUUGCCAGCGGUCCGGCCGGGAACUCAAAGGAGACUGCCAGUGAUAAACUGGAGGAAGGUGGGGAUGACGUCAAGUCAUCAUGGCCCUUACGAGUAGGGCUACACACGUGCUACAAUGGCAUAUACAAAGAGAAGCGACCUCGCGAGAGCAAGCGGACCUCAUAAAGUAUGUCGUAGUCCGGAUUGGAGUCUGCAACUCGACUCCAUGAAGUCGGAAUCGCUAGUAAUCGUAGAUCAGAAUGCUACGGUGAAUACGUUCCCGGGCCUUGUACACACCGCCCGUCACACCAUGGGAGUGGGUUGCAAAAGAAGUAGGUAGCUUAACCUUCGGGAGGGCGCUUACCACUUUGUGAUUCAUGACUGGGGUGAA
rnacentral:rRNA from 1 species